UACGUAGGGGGCUAGCGUUGUCCGGAAUCAUUGGGCGUAAAGCGCGUGUAGGCGGUUCGGUAAGUCCGCUGUGAAAGUCGGGGGCUCAACCCUCGAAUGCCGGUGGAUACUGUCGGGCUAGAGUGCGGAAGAGGCGAGUGGAAUUCCUGGUGUAGCGGUGAAAUGCGCAGAUAUCAGGAGGAACACCAAUUGCGAAGGCAGCUCGCUGGGACGCUACUGACGCUGAGGAGCGAAAGCAUGGGGAGCGAACAGG
rnacentral:rRNA from 1 species